rnacentral:rRNA from 1 species
GCAGCAGCCAGGUAAAACGGAGGGUGCAAGCGUUAAUCGGAAUUACUGGGCGUAAAGCGCACGCAGGCGGUCUGACAAGUCAGAUGUGAAAUCCCCGGGCUUAACCUGGGAACUGCAUUUGAAACUGUCAGGCUGGAGUCUUGUAGAGGGGGGUGGAAUUCCAGGUGUAGCGGUGAAAUGCGUAGAGAUCUGGAGGAAUACCGGUGGCGAAGGCGGCCCCCUGGACAAAGACUGACGCUCAGGUGCGAAAGCGUGGGGAGCAAACAGGAUUAGAGACCCCGGUAGUCCCUGUCUCUUAUACA